rnacentral:rRNA from 2 species
GUAAACGGCGGCCGUAACUAUAACGGUCCUAAGGUAGCGAAAUUCCUUGUCGGGUAAGUUCCGACCCGCACGAAAGGCGUAACGAUUUGGGCACUGUCUCAACGAGAGACUCGGUGAAAUCAUAGUACCUGUGAAGAUGCAGGUUACCCGCGACAGGACGGAAAGACCCCGUGGAGCUUUACUGUAGCCUGAUAUUGAAAUUCGGCACAGCUUGUACAGGAUAGGUAGGAGCCUUUGAAACGUGAGCGCUAGCUUACGUGGAGGCGCUGGUGGGAUACUACCCUAGCUGUGUUGGCUUUCUAACCCGCACCACUUAUCGUGGUGGGAGACAGUGUCAGGCGGGCAGUUUGACUGGGGCGGUCGCCUCCUAAAAGGUAACGGAGGCGCUCAAAGGUUCCCUCAGAAUGGUUGGAAAUCAUUCAUAGAGUGUAAAGGCAUAAGGGAGCUUGACUGCGAGACCUACAAGUCGAGCAGGGUCGAAAGACGGACUUAGUGAUCCGGUGGUUCCGCAUGGAAGGGCCAUCGCUCAACGGAUAAAAGCUACCCCGGGGAUAACAGGCUUAUCUCCCCCAAGAGUUCACAUCGACGGGGAGGUUUGGCACCUCGAUGUCGGCUCAUCGCAUCCUGGGGCUGUAGUCGGUCCCAAGGGUUGGGCUGUUCGCCCAUUAAAGCGGUACGCGAGCUGGGUUCAGAACGUCGUGAGACAGUUCGGUCCCUAUCCGUCGUGGGCGUAGGAAAUUUGAGAGGAGCUGUCCUUAGUACGAGAGGACCGGGAUGGACAUACCUCUGGUGUACCAGUUGUCGUGCCAACGGCAUAGCUGGGUAGCUAUGUGUGGACGGGAUAAGUGCUGAAAGCAUCUAAGCAUGAAGCCCCCCUCAAGAUGAGAUUUCCCAACUUCGGUUAUAAGAUCCCUCAAAGAUGAUGAGGUUAAUAGGUUCGAGGUGGAAGCAUGGUGACAUGUGGAGCUGACGAAUACUAAUCGAUCGAAGACUUAAUCAA